rnacentral:rRNA from 1 species
AAUGAACGCUGGCGGCGUGCUUAACACAUGCAAGUCGAACGAGGCUGGGGGGGCGAACUCCUCAGUUAGUGGCGGACGGGUGAGUAACACGUGGGUAACCUGCCCGGAAGUGGGGAAUACCUCGGGGAAACGUACGAGCUAAUACCGCAUAACAUCUUUAGGACGAUGGCCCUGACGAUCAAAGCGGGGUCGCAAGAUCUCGCGCUACCGGAUGGGCCCGCGCCUGAUUAGCUAGUUGGUGGGGUAACGGCUCACCAAGGCUUCGAUCAGUAACCGGCCUGAGAGGGCGAUCGGUCACACCGGAACUGAGACACGGUCCGGACUCCUACGGGAGGCAGCAGUGGGGAAUCUUGCGCAAUGGGCGAAAG